rnacentral:SRP_RNA from 1 species
UCGCGCUAGACGGGGAGCCAGCGGUGCCCUGUACCCGCAAUCCGCUAUAGCGGGGUCGAAUUCCCCACCGAGGGGGCGCGUCGCCGGGUCCGCUCCGACCUCUCCGGUGUUGAUGGUUGGGUCCUGCGCAGCCCGGGCCCGUGAACCGCGUCAGGUCCGGAAGGAAGCAGCGCUAAGCGGUCCCCCGGGGGUGCCGCAGUCAACCUGGCCUGAGCCGGGGGACCGGGUGAGCGCCGGUGCCGUGCCAACGACGUGGGGUGCGCGA